CCUGUACUUUCUUUAAUUGUGAUGGAGUGACGGAGAAGGAUAAGCAUACCUAUUAUUGGAUUUAGGGGUAAGUAGUUACUGGUGAUUGUAGGCAAAUCCGCAAUCUAUAACUGGGAGCUAUGAUGCAUAGGACUUUUGUCUGAAUUUGCCAAUUCCAUGCUUCCUAGAAAAGUUUCUAAACUUAAUUUUAUUGAAACCUGUACCAAGAACGGACACACGUCCCCAAGAUGAGUAUUCUAAGGCGAGCGAGAAAACUAGUGUUAAGGAACUCUGCAAAAUGACCCCGUAAGUUCGCAAGAAGGGGCGCCUAUGGUAACACAUAGGCCACAGUAAAUUAUGAGGGGCAACUGUUUAUCAAAAACACAACUCUCUGCUAAACCGCAAGGUGAUGUAUAGGGGGUGAAGCCUGCCCAGUGCCCGAAGGUUAAGUGGAUGCGUUAG
rnacentral:rRNA from 2 species